rnacentral:rRNA from 1 species
UAGGGAAUCUUCCGCAAUGGGCGAAAGCCUGACGGAGCAACGCCGCGUGAGUGAUGAAGGUCUUCGGAUCGUAAAACUCUGUUAUUAGGGAAGAACAUAUGUGUAAGUAACUGUGCACAUCUUGACGGUACCUUAUCAGAAAGCCACGGCUAACUACGUGCCAGCAGCCGCGGUAAUACGUAGGUGGCAAGCGUUAUCCGGAAUUAUUGGGCGUAAAGCGCGCGUAGGCGGUUUUUUAAGUCUGAUGUGAAAGCCCACGGCUCAACCGUGGAGGGUCAUUGGAAACUGGAAAACUUGAGUGCAGAAGAGGAAAGUGGAAUUCCAUGUGUAGCGGUGAAAUGCGCAGAGAUAUGGAGGAACACCUGUGGCGAAGGCGACUUUCUGGUCUAUAACUGACGCUGAUGUGCGAAAGCGUGGGGAUCAAACAGGAUUAGAUACCCUGGUAGUCCACGCCGUAAACGAUGAGUGCUAAGUGUUAGGGGGUUUCCGCCCCUUAGUGCUGCAGCUAACGCAUUAAGCACUCCGCCUGGGGAGUACGACCGCAAGGUUG